UCCAUUCUUAUGGACGAUUGUUGUAUUGUUUUUCGUAUGUAUAUCUAAUGAAGCAUACUUUUUCAGGCAAAACACCUUCAGUCCUCCGUACACAUCUGAUUUCCGUAAGAAUUACGCCUCAAAUUCGAAGGAGACAAUGUUCUAUCUGCACCUAGCACCUCUACAAACCGUGACCGAUAAAGUUUGUCGUUGAUCCUCCGUCCAGGAUAACAUACUCCGCCAAAGGUGAAGGUCGGUCGAAUCAUAAACUAACUCGAGAAUCCCCACUCGAUACGAGAAUAUUAUUGGUUCCAAUAAUACAAGGUUCCAACCUUGUUUUUCGCCGUUUGUUAUACAUUCCAUUUGCAGAUACAAAAUGGAGUGAAAGAUGCAAAAAAUCGCGUGUUAAUGCGGUCAAAAUGAAAUCAAGAUCGCACACGAUACCAAACUCAAAGGCACGAUGGAGUUUGUUUCGAAACGCGCUGAAAGGUCCAUUGAAAAUUUUAGCCUGGACCGAUUUGAUUGAUACAGGAUAUGAAUAUCUUCGAAACUUGACCUUGGAAGGAGGAAAAUGUCCACGUUUAUGAUUUGUUUACGCUGCACCGAUCGAAACUGGCCGCGUGAUUAUGAAAAACGGUAACAAAUCGUGGGCGGAAUAAUAUGGACCAGGAUUAGAAACCACUGGCUAAGCUGGCGCAGAGUACGAGCGUUGAAACUUGUACGCUGCCAGGAUGGAAUGGUAUGGUAUAAACUAUGUAGAUGAUAAGAAUAGAAAAAAAGGUAUGAAGCGUAAGAUAUUGAUAUUGUUAUGAUUAUAAAACAGUACAUGUUAAUUGUUAUCUUUUUACGCUUGCCAUAAAA